rnacentral:rRNA from 1 species
GAUGAACGCUGGCGGCGUGCCUAAUACAUGCAAGUCGAGCGAACAGAUGAGGAGCUUGCUCCUCUGACGUUAGCGGCGGACGGGUGAGUAACACGUGGAUAACCUACCUAUAAGACUGGGAUAACUUCGGGAAACCGGAGCUAAUACCGGAUAAUAUAUUGAACCGCAUGGUUCAAUAGUGAAAGACGGUUUUGCUGUCACUUAUAGAUGGAUCCGCGCCGCAUUAGCUAGUUGGUAAGGUAACGGCUUACCAAGGCAACGAUGCGUAGCCGACCUGAGAGGGUGAUCGGCCACACUGGAACUGAGACACGGUCCAGACUCCGACGGGAGGCAGCAGUAGGGAAUCUUCCGCAAUGGGCGAAAGCCUGACGGAGCAACGCCGCGUGAGUGAUGAAGGUCUGCGGAUCGUAAAACUCUGUUAUUAGGGAAGAACAAAUGUGUAAGUAACUAUGCACGUCUUGACGGUACCUAAUCAGAAAGCCACGGCUAACUACGU